rnacentral:lncRNA from 1 species
UCAUAAAUACUAAGGGAUGGAAGGGACCUCAGAGGGAUUCUGGGACUACAAACAAACCCAGUCUGAUCAGUGAUGCUCUGUUUGGAAACUUGCAUUGAUGAUGAACUAAUUACCAUCUCAGGUGCUAAGCUCUGUUGUGUCUACAUGGUCAAAGGAAGGAAAGAAGGAAGGAAGAACAAAAGCUAUUAAUGUCCUCUGAGCUGGCCUCCCCCUUUCCCCUCCAGUUGCCUUGCCCUAGUUACUACUCUGGAACCAGCAGGCCUUCUGACUCAUCUCAUGUUCAUUGUACUAUGUUAUGCCACAUCCCAGAAGCAGAGGCAGCUUUUGUCCUCAAGGAGCUUACAUAGAUGUAUCAAAGGCACAACAGCUACUAUAAGGCAUAGGUGCUCAUUGAUAUUGUGCAAAAGGGGCAGGAAUCGAGACCAACACAGACAUAUAUUUGAAGGUUCAGAGGCUCUCUCUGGGACCUCAAUGGACAUUAAAAGACUUUGGGGGAAUUCAUCAUGCCUCCUUCAACUGUUGAAAAACAUCCCUGAGAGGGACUGCUUCCUGGGUAACAGAAUGUAGAUGUCUGAAUGCAAUGAAGGACCUUCCCUAAAUGUUCUCUGUCCCUGCUGCCUUUGAACUUUAGCAAUGUCUACAUUUGUAAG